rnacentral:rRNA from 1 species
UAAUACGAAGGGAGCUAGCGUUGUUCGGAAUUACUGGGCGUAAAGGGCGCGUAGGCGGUUUUGUACGUCUGAUGUGAAAGACCUGGGCUUAACCUGGGAAGUGCAUUGGAUACGGCAAGACUGGAGUGCGAGAGGGGAUUGUGGAAUUGUGCGUGUAGAGGUGAAAUUCGUAGAGAUGCACAAGAACAUCGGAGGCGAAGGCGACAAUCUGGCUCGUAACUGACGCUAAGGCGCGAAAGCGUGGGGAGCAAACAGG